UACGUAGGGUGCGAGCGUUAAUCGGAAUUACUGGGCGUAAAGCGUGCGCAGGCGGCUUUGCAAGACAGAUGUGAAAUCCCCGGGCUCAACCUGGGAACUGCAUUUGUGACUGCAAGGCUAGAGUACGGCAGAGGGGGAUGGAAUUCCGCGUGUAGCAGUGAAAUGCGUAGAUAUGCGGAGGAACACCAAUGGCGAAGGCAAUCCCCUGGGCCUGUACUGACGCUCAUGCACGAAAGCGUGGGGAGCGAACAGG
rnacentral:rRNA from 1 species